CAAUGGCUAUAACAAAGGGAAGCGAAGCCGCGAGGUGAAGCAAACCCAAAAAAGUAAGUCCCAGUUCGGAUUGAAGGCUGAAAUUCGCCUUCAUGAAGCCGGAAUUGCUAGUAAUGGCAGGUCAGCAUACUGCCGUGAAUACGUUCCCGGGCCUUGUACACACCGCCCGUCACACCAUGAGAGUUGGCAAUACCCAACGUACGUGAUCUAACCCGCAAGGGAGGAAGCGUCCUAAGGUAGGGUCAGCGAUUGGGGUGAAGUCGUAACAAGGUACC
rnacentral:rRNA from 1 species